GUUGAACGCUGGCGGCAGGCCUAACACAUGCAAGUCGAACGAGUGGCGGACGGGUGAGUAAUGUCUGGGAAACUGCCUGAUGGAGGGGGAAAACUACUGGAAACGGUAGCUAAUACCGCAUACCAUCAGAUGUGCCCAGAUGGGAUUAGCUAGUUGGUGGGGGAAAGGCUCACCAAGGAGACGAUCCCUAGCUGGUCUGAGAGGAUGACCAGCCACACUGGAACUGAGACACGGUCCAGACUCUUACGGGAGGCAGCAGUGGGGAAUAUUGCUCAAUGGGCGCAAGCCGGAUGCAGCCAUGCCGCGUGUAUGAAGAAGGCCUUCGGGUUGUAAAGUACUUUCAGCGGGGAGGCGUUACCCGCAGAAGAAGCACCGGCUAACUCCGUGCCAGCAGCCGCGGUAAUUC
rnacentral:rRNA from 1 species